AAGACUAUACUUUCAGGGAUCAUUUCUAUAGUUUGUUACUAAAAGCUGGCAGAAGAAGAGAUUUCUGGGUACUCAAAUGAGUCAU
rnacentral:snoRNA from 1 species